AAUUGGAUUGAGAACAAUGUACAACUCUUAUCGAUAAGCCAUUGGAGGGCAAGUCUGGUGCCAGCAGCCGCGGUAAUUCCAGCUCCAAUAGCGUAUAUUAACGUUGUUGCAGUUAAAAAGCUCGUAGUUGAAGUGUGGGUGGUGCCUACUUCCAGACUUCGGUUUAGGAGUGGAUCACUACCCCCUUCCAGUAUCCAGUAGUGGGUAUUCAGUUACUUACUAUUGUGUGUUGGUCAUUUACUGUGAGAAAAUUAGAGUGUUCAAAGCAGGCGUUUGCUUGAAUAGAUUAGCAUGGAAUAAUAAUUGAAGGCUUUCGUGUUCGAUUUGAUUGGUUUGUUCAUGGAAGCAAGGUUAAAAGGAACAGUUGGGGGUAUUCAUAUUCACUAGUUAGAGGUGAAAUUCUCGGAUUUAUGGAAGAUGAACAAGUGCGAAAGCAA
rnacentral:rRNA from 1 species